GCCUAUGUGGCCAAGUGGUAAGGCGUCUGUCUUGUAAACAGAAGAUCCGUGGUUCAAUCCCGCGUAUGGGCA
rfam:Conidiobolus coronatus NRRL 28638 unplaced genomic scaffold CONCOscaffold_21, whole genome shotgun sequence.